UACGUAGGGUCCGAGCGUUGUCCGGAAUUAUUGGGCGUAAAGGGCUCGUAGGCGGUUUGUCGCGUCGGGGAGUGAAAACCAGGUGCUUAACACCUGGCCUGCUUUCGAUACGGGCAGACUAGAGGCAUUCAGGGGAGAACGGAAUUCCGGUGUAGCGGUGAAAUGCGUAGAUAUCGGAAGGAACACCAGUGGCGAAAGCGGCUUCCUGGUCCAGCACCGACGUUCAGGCACGGAAAGCGUGGGGAGCAAACAGGG
rnacentral:rRNA from 1 species